GAUGAAGAACGUAGCGAAAUGCGAUAAGUAAUGUGAAUUGCUGAAUUCAGUGAAUCAUCGAAUCUUUGAACGCACAUUGCGCCCGCCAGUAUUCUGGCGGGCAUGCCUGUCUGAGCGUCAUUUCAACCCUCAUGCCCCUAGGGCGUGGUGUUGGGGAUCGGCCAAAGCCCGCGAGGGACGGCCGGCCCCUAAAUCUAGUGGCGGACCCGUCGUGGCCUCCUCUGCGAAGUAGUGAUAUUCCGCAUCGGAGAGCGAUGAGCCCCUGCCGUUAAACCCCCAACUUUCCAAGGUUGACCUCAGAUCAGGUAGGAAUACCCGCUGAACUUAAGCAUAUCAAUAAGCGGAGGA
rnacentral:misc_RNA from 1 species